CUGCUGGUCUGAUUUGCACGGGUAGCAGAUACUAACCCUUCAUUCAGCCUAGUGGUGUGCUGCUGCUGGCUCCAGGAAGACAGAGCAUAGCGGCCAAACAUUACCGGAAUGGUCACAGAGUAUUGUAGUUUGGCGUGCUACCAGAAACGCACUCAGAGGAGGAGGCUGGUGCUUCACGGCUGUAAGGACUAGAUUGCAGUGACUCUGAAGUGACAUGCCUGAAAUACAGAUAGUGUGGACAUUGGCAUCAACUAUUUUGUUCUACAGGACUGUUUUGAUUGUCCUGCAACAGUUAUUAAUAAAGAAGAAUUCAUAGAGACUUAAUAUGACCAGUUAAAGUAAAACACCGAGUGAACACAAAUGUGGCAUGAAGGGUCACAUGUUGACCAGAGGAGUGAAGAAUGGCCACAGGAAGA